GCAAGUCGGAUGCGAAUCAUCUUUUCGGAGGUGUAGUAGCAUGGCAGACGGGUGAGGAACGCGUAUCUGACCUGACUCUUGGUGGGGGAUAGUCCUGCGAAAGCGGGCAUAAUACCGCAUACGUCCGUCGUUGUAGAGACGAUAGGGAAAGCCGGCCUCUAGAUUAUGCCGGUGCUGAGAGAGGGGGAUGCGUCCUAUUAGCUAGUUGGUGGGGUAAUGGCCUACCAAGGCUUCGAUGGGUAGCUGGUCUGAGAGGAUGAUC
rnacentral:rRNA from 1 species